rnacentral:rRNA from 1 species
UACGUAGGGUGCAAGCGUUGCCCGGAUUUAUUGGGCGUAAAGGGCGCGCAGGCGGCUACGCACGUCCGUUGUGAAAUCGCUCGGCUCAACUGGGCGGGGUCGGCGGAUACGGCGUAGCUGGAGCAAGCUAGGGGGCAAUGGAAUUCCCGGUGUAGUGGUGGAAUGCGUAGAUAUCAGGAGGAACACCGGUGGCGAAGGCGGGUCUCUGGGCCGAUACUGACGCUGAGGAGCGAAAGCGUGGGGAGCGAACAGG